CAUGAAGUCGGAAUUGCUAGUAAUCGCGGAUCAGCAUGCCGCGGUGAAUACGUUCCCGGGCCUUGUACACACCGCCCGUCACACCAUGGGAGCCGGUAAUACCCGAAGUCAGUAGUCCAACCACGUGAGGACGCUGCCGAAGGUAGGAUUGGCGACUGGGGUGAAGUCGUAACAAGGUAAC
rnacentral:rRNA from 1 species